rnacentral:rRNA from 1 species
UACGUAGGGUGCAAGCGUUAAUCGGAAUUACUGGGCGUAAAGCGUGCGCAGGCGGCUAUGCAAGACAGAUGUGAAAUCCCCGGGCUCAACCUGGGAACUGCAUUUGUGACUGCAUGGCUAGAGUACGGUAGAGGGGGAUGGAAUUCCGCGUGUAGCAGUGAAAUGCGUAGAUAUGCGGAGGAACACCGAUGGCGAAGGCAAUCCCCUGGACCUGUACUGACGCUCAUGCACGAAAGCGUGGGGAGCAAAAAGG